GCGCCGUUGGUGUAGUGGUAACAUACGACCUGAUCUUGAUGGGAUGCAGAAAUAUUAGGUUAGGUCCUGGGUUCAAAUCCCAGACGGCGUG